rnacentral:rRNA from 1 species
UAAUACGUAGGGGGCAAGCGUUGUCCGGAAUUAUUGGGCGUAAAGCGCGCGCAGGCGGUCAUUUAAGUCUGGUGUUUAAUCCCGGGGCUCAACCCCGGAUCGCACUGGAAACUGGGUGACUUGAGUGCAGAAGAGGAGAGUGGAAUUCCACGUGUAGCGGUGAAAUGCGUAGAUAUGUGGAGGAACACCAGUGGCGAAGGCGACUCUCUGGGCUGUAACUGACGCUGAGGCGCGAAAGCGUGGGGAGCAAACAGGAUUAGAUACCCUGGUAGUCCACGCCGUAAACGAUGAGUGCUAGGUGUUAGGGGUUUCGAUACCCUUGGUGCCGAAGUUAACACAUUAAGCACUCCGCCUGGGGAGUACGGUCGCAAGACUG